CACGUAGGGGGCAAGCGUUGUCCGGAUUUAUUGGGCGUAAAGAGCUCGUAGGUGGUUCGGUAAGUCGGGUGUGAAACCUCCAGGCUCAACCUGGAGACGCCACCCGAUACUGCUGUGACUGGAGUCCGGUAGGGGAGCGUGAAAUUCCUGGUGUAGCGGUGAAAUGCGCAGAUAUCAGGAGGAACACCAAUGGCGAAGGCAGCUCGCUGGAACGGUACUGACGCUGAGACGCGAAAGCGUGGGGAGCAAACAGG
rnacentral:rRNA from 1 species